rnacentral:rRNA from 1 species
AACACGUGGGGAACCUGCCCCAUAGUCUGGGAUACCACUUGGAAACAGGUGCUAAUACCGGAUAAGAAAGCGGAUCGCAUGAUCAGCUUUUAAAAGGCGGCGUAAGCUGUCGCUAUGGGAUGGCCCCGCGGUGCAUUAGCUAGUUGGUAAGGUAAAGGCUUACCAAGGCGAUGAUGCAUAGCCGAGUUGAGAGACUGAUCGGCCACAUUGGGACUGAGACACGGCCCAAACUCUACGGGAGGCAGCAGUC